rnacentral:rRNA from 1 species
CCUACGGUGCGCAGCAGUCGAUACUCAUUCACAAUGGGGGAACCCCUGCUGGUGCGACGCCCCGUGGGGGAAUGAAGGUCUUCGGAUUGUACACCCCUGUCAUGUGGGAGCAAAUUAAAAAGAUAGUACCACAAGAGGAAGAGACGGCUAACUCUGUGCCAGCAGCCGCGGUAAUACAGAGGUCUCAAGCGUUGUUCGGAAUCACUGGGCGUCAAGCGUGCGUAGGCUGUUUCGUAAGUCGUGUGUGAAAGGCGCGGGCUCAACCCGCGGACGGCACAUGAUACUGCGAGACUAGAGUAAUGGAGGGGGAACCGGAAUUCGCGGUGUAGCAGGGAAAUGCGUAGAGAUCGAGAGGAACACUCGUGGCGAAGGCGGGUUCCUGGACAUUAACUGACGCUGAGGCACGAAGGCCAGGGGAGCGAAAGGGAUUAGAUACCCCAGUAGUC